UAUAUAUAUUAUAAUCACUUACUCUAUUACAAAAUACGACCCACAACUCAUUUAUCUAGUUUGUACAUGCCAUAGUUAGAAUUUUAACAUUUUAAAUACCGAAACAACAUAUAGGGUGAUGAACUUGCUGACGGUCCCCGAGCUUGAAGCUUGAUUUUUUUAAAACUAUAAAACAAAAAGACAUAAACAAAUAAAGUAAGUUUUUAUAGCUUAGUAAGUCUAUAGCAUACCCAAAAAUAUAAUAAUUAAAUAUUACAUAAAUAUUAAAUAAUUUCCUGAUUCCAUAAAUAUACAUUUCAACCUUCACAUAUCUUAUUAUGUAAUACUUAGAAUCAAAUAUACAUACACAUCAAUUGUGUAUAACCGAAUGCUUAUUUAUAUACGUAUAUAUAUUCAAUAACUAUUAAAAUCGAAUAUACAUAUGUAUUUAUACAUAUACAUUUAAAUAUCAAUCUAAUAUAACAGAAUACAUCUUUACUUGUCAAAUUAUAAAUCACUGGACUCAUAGAAACUAAUAAUUAUAUAUAUACAAAAUGCAUAUAUAUAUUCAUAUGCUUAACAAAUAUAAAGAUUGAAUAGGUACAGGUAUUUAUCAUAAACAUAUAACUAAAGGUAUAUGUGUACUUACCCUGUACAUAUACUCAAAUAUAAAUAUGAAUAUAUUAAUCACAUUUCAUAACCCAUCACACAUAUUUGUAUAUUAAUCAUAGAUUUUAACCUAACUCAUACUUAAACAUAAAUAACCGAAUGCUUUAUUGAUCAACAAUUACUUGCAAAUAAAUAACCAAACAUAUUUAUGUUCCCACAUGCGCAUAAGUAUAUUUCUUCAAUUUUUUAUGCCAAAAACACAUAUAUUAACAUGUGUAUACCUUUCAAUUGCAUUUAACAAUUGCAUAGAUAUAUACAUAAAAUUGUCAACUACUUAGGUUAAAUAAAAGUGCAAACUCCUUCAAAUACUUGAGUCUGGACAACUCACACAUUUUAGACAUAUUCACCGGCAACUAGCCUGCUAGGUUUUUUUUUUCUAAAAAAAAUCUGAUUCAAUUCACCGGCAAUUAGCCUGCUAGACUUAAAGUCCGAAUUAUUUCACCGGCACAAAGCCUGCUAGACAUAAAGUCCGAAUAACUUCACCGGCCUUAAGCCUACUAGGUUUUAAACCUGAAAAUUUCAAUUUCACAUAUACGAAAUACUCCUCAAGUAAUUCUUUAAAGUAAUCACAUAAUUGUAAAAGAUCAUAUUCAAACAUAAGAGAGUUUAUAAAAUCCUAUCUUCAAUUCAAUUCAAGCAUUUGUAAAUUGUAUGGGCACACAUAUAUUCAUAUACAUUACUACUUAACUAAAUUUAAUACAAAACUUUACAUACCUAAAUACACUUAUUCGAGCCUAACUAAACAUAUAUAUAAGUAUACGUUUGAUGCUAUCCAUAUAUGUAUAUAUUUAAAUAUAUACUUAACACUUAACAUUGAAUUAUAUUAAAUACCUAUUCGAAUGUAAACAUAUAUGCAUCAAUUCAUAUAGAAACACCCAUUCGAAAUUUCUUAUGCAUAUACAAUAUAUAUACCUUUAAUCAAACUUAAAAAUUAUACAUAAUUGUACAUAUACUUAUUUUCGAAACUUAUUUUGCAUUUAUAAUCCCCAUAUCACCAACUAUUUUCAAAUAAGUCAUAAACAUAUAAAAUAUAUAUAUAUUGAAAUAUUUAAACAAUGUAUAUACAUAUAUCUAUGUACUAUUCUUAAUUAUAUUUAUUAUUAAAACUUAUAUAAACAUAUAUCCUUAUAGCCGAAUAUAGCUUACACACAAAUACUAUCCAUAUUUCAAGUCUAUUCAACCAAAGUAUACUUGAUUAUAAAUCAACAAUAAAUCAACAUAGAUUCAUACACAUAUAUAUAUACUAAUUUAGUUCCAUUUAGUAGCUAGUAGACUUACCUCGGACGAAGAAAAAUCGAAGUCGGACGAUUAUUCGACUACUUUGGCUUUUCCCCGAUCUAACUCUGAUUUCUUUGGUUCUCGAUCUAAAUAUAUUCAAAAUGAGCUAAUUUAAUUAUUAACACAUUCAAUUGAGUCCAAAAAUACAUAAAUGGGCAAAUUACCAUUUUGUCCCUGAUAUUUACAUUUUUUUUCAAUUUAAUCUCUAUUGCAUAAAACACAAAAUUUGCCCGUGCCACAAAAGAGCUGAAUAUUCAUAGUUCUCAUACAAGUCCACACAUUUCAUUUAUUUCACAUUUUAGUCCUCCAUAAAUUUAAAUUUCACAAUUUAACCCUAAAUAUUCGAUUUCACCAAAAAUUCAAAUACAAAUCAUAUUAAUCUUUCACCUAUCUUUCAUAUUUCAUCAACAACUAACAAAAGCUCAAGCAUUCAUCAAUGGUAAAACUCAAAAUCACCAGAAAAUUCUACAAUUAAAACAUGGGCUAAAUAAUACACGAAACAACGAUCACAAAAACAUAAAAAUCAUCAAAAACCGGGACCAAAAUAUACCUCAAUUAAACCAAGCAAUUGCCGAAACCCUAAAGGCCAUGGUUGAAUUCUUCUUAGCUUAGUUUCGG
rnacentral:lncRNA from 1 species